rnacentral:misc_RNA from 1 species
AGCAGCCGCGGUAAUUCCAGCUCCAAUAGCGUAUAUUAAAGUUGUUGCAGUUAAAAAGCUCGUAGUUGAAUUUCGGGGUUAGUAGGUUGGUCAUGCCUCUGGUAUGUACUGGUCUCACUGAUUCCUCCUUCCUGAUGAACCUUAAUGCCAUUAAUUUGGUGUUUUGGGGAAUUUGGACUAUUACUUUGAAAAAAUUAGAGUGUUUAAAGCAAGCUAACGCUUGAAUACAUUAGCAUGGAAUAAUGAAAUAGGACGUUCGAUCCUAUUUUGUUGGUUUCUAGGAUUGACGUAAUGAUUAAUAGGGAUAGUUGGGGGCAUUAGUAUUCAAUUGUCAGAGGUGAAAUUCUUGGAUUUAUUGAAGACUAACUACUGCGAAAGCAUUUGCCAAGGAUGUUUUCAUUAAUCAAGAACGAAAGUUAGGGGAUCGAAGACGAUCAGAUACCGUCGUAGUCUUAACCAUAAACUAUGCCGACUAGGGAUCGGAUGAUGUUAAUUUUUUAAUGACUCAUUCGGCGCCUUA